UUACAAUCCUUCUGCUCCUAACUAAAGCCGAGAGCGAGAGAGAGAGAACCAAACCAAACUCCAUUCACCACUUAAGCAAACCGAGAGAGAGUGAGAGAUGAGAGAGACGAGAGAGAUGAGAGUUGAGAGAAGCCUUUGUCUGUGUAAAAUUGGUGAGUGAGAAUAGUGAGACGCUAAUGAAGCCGGUGGGUGGGACGUUCGCUUGCAUAAAUUCGAAAUUAAUAUUCUUCUUCCCAAGCUUUCCACUGCAGGCCACUUGGUGUCCCAACCUUAAACGCCAUUAUUAGUAGGGACAAAGCAGAGAUUCUCUGCAAACCCACCAUAUUAUGAAUAGCUUCCCAGCCCCUACACGCCAGUGUAACCAGCGUCCAUACUUUGGAUGCUAUUAUGAUUGGCGUCCCGAGAUCAUGCCUUUCCAACUCAGCUAAAAUUCACCCCCUUUUGAUAAUAUAUUUCAAACUUUUGUUUUUCAAUUAGCACCCAUUGGUAAAAAGCUCUCUGAAAUAGUGAAUCCUGACUGAAAGUAGUCGUAAAUAGUCUAACCUUUUUGACUUCUUUUUUUAAUUAAAAAAGGUAAUCUGUGAUUCAUACACACCAGCAGGUGAGCCCAUCCCUACAAACAAACGCCACCGUGCAGCUGAGAUUUUCUGUAACAAGAGGGUUGUAGAUGAAGUGCCAUGGUAUGUCUUUUUUUUUUAUUUGUUUAAGUUGCCUUGGUCUUAUUCUCAUGCUUUGCUUUUGAAGUUUGAUAUACUUAUUAAUUUAAAUGAUCAUGAUUUAUAAAUUUGGCAAUUCUCAGCACUAAUUGUUUCAGCACACAA
rnacentral:misc_RNA from 1 species